CUGCAUGCUAUGGUGAGCUAAAAACCUCAUGAUCCCUUGCCUUGCGCAGUGGCGGUGGGCAUCAUAUAGCAUGCUACAGAGUCAUGGAGUUAACAGGGCCACCAGUCUCUCAAGAACAGGCUGUAUUGGUAGUAUAAAACUCCUACAUUU